GCGGGGAUACCCAAGCGGUCAACGGGGCAAGACUCAAGAUCUUGUGGCUUAGUGCCUUCGCAGGUUCGAAUCCUGCUCCCCGCA
rnacentral:tRNA from 1 species